AACGUAGGGGACAAACGUUAUCCGGAGUUACUGGGCGUAAAGGGCGUGUAGGUGGUUUUGUAAGUUCGGCGUGAAAUCUCUCGGUUUAACCGGGAGUGGUCGUCGGAUACUGCAAGACUAGAGGACGGUAGAGGCGUGUGGAAUUCCGGGUGUAGUGGUGAAAUGCGUAGAGAUCCGGAGGAACACCAGUGGCGAAGGCGACACGCUGGGCCGUACCUGACACUGAGGCGCGAUAGCAUGGGGAGCAAACAGGAUUAGAUACCCGAGUAGU
rnacentral:rRNA from 1 species